rnacentral:rRNA from 1 species
GAUGAACGCUGGCGGCGUGCCUAAUACAUGCAAGUCGAGCGAAUGGAUUAAGAGCUUGCUCUUAUGAGGUUAGCGGCGGACGGGUGAGUAACACGUGGGUAACCUGCCCAUAAGACUGGGAUAACUCCGGGAAACCGGGGCUAAUACCGGAUAACAUUUUGAACCGCAUGGUUCGAAAUUGAAAGGCGGCUUCGGCUGUCACUUAUGGAUGGACGCGCGUCGCAUUAGCUAGGUGGUGAGGUAACGGCUCACCAAGGCAACGAUGCGUGGCCGACCUGAGAGGGUGAUCGGCCACACCGGGACUGAGACACGGCCCAGACUCCUACGGGAGGCAGCAGUAGGGAAUCUUCCGCAAUGGACGAAAGUCUGACGGAGCAACGCCGCGUGAGUGAUGAAGGCUUUCGGGUCGUAAAACUCUGUUGUUAGGGAAGAACAAGUGCUAGUUGAAUAAGCUGGCACCUUGACGGUACCUAACCAGAAAGCCACGGCUAACUACGUGCCAGCCGCCGCCGUAA